GAGUUUGAUCUUGGCUCAGAUUGAACGCUGGCGGCAUGCCUUACACAUGCAAGUCGAACGGCAGCGGGGGAAAGCUUGCUUUCCUGCCGGCGAGUGGCGAACGGGUGAGUAAUACAUCGGAACGUGCCCUGUAGUGGGGGAUAACUAGUCGAAAGAUUAGCUAAUACCGCAUACGACCUGAGGGUGAAAGUGGGGGACCGCAAGGCCUCAUGCUAUAGGAGCGGCCGAUGUCUGAUUAGCUAGUUGGUGGGGUAAAGGCCUACCAAGGCGACGAUCAGUAGCUGGUCUGAGAGGACGAUCAGCCACACUGGGACUGAGACACGGCCCAGACUCCUACGGGAGGCAGCAGUGGGGAAUUUUGGACAAUGGGCGAAAGCCUGAUCCAGCAAUGCCGCGUGUGUGAAGAAGGCC
rnacentral:rRNA from 1 species